UACGAAGGGGCUAGCGUUGCUCGGAAUCACUGGGCGUAAAGCGCACGUAGGCGGACUCUUAAGUCGGUGGUGAAAUCCUGGAGCUCAACUCCAGAACUGCCUUCGAUACUGAGAGUCUCGAGUCCGGGAGAGGUGAGUGGAACUGCGAGUGUAGAGGUGAAAUUCGUAGAUAUUCGCAAGAACACCAGUGGCGAAGGCGGCUCACUGGCCCGGUACUGACGCUGAGGUGCGAAAGCGUGGGAGCAAACAGG
rnacentral:rRNA from 1 species